CUUUUAUUUUUAAAUAAUUUUUAGAUCAUCACAGUGUACUGAAAAGAUUGCCUUGUAAUAACUUAUGAUAACAUUCACUACAUUAACAAAAUUCAAAUGAUACACAAAAAUACCCAUAAAAAAAAACAUACACACAUGUUACUGCUUAUAUCUUAAAAAGCAAUUUUUUAUCAUUUAUUGCAGUAUUUAUCAAUUAAUUCAUUUUAAACAUGUAAUAACAGAAAGCCUAAAGCUUGAAUCAUUCAAAAUAAAUUAUUCAAUGCUCUUCAAUGAAAGAAAAAGUUUUUGUAUGAAAAUAUUGUAGAAUGAAAACAAAGUUGUUGUGUCUGUUUUACUUUCAUAAUUUGUUUUUGUAAACAAGAAUUUACACAAUUAAUAUGCAAAUAUUACUAUAAAUAAGAUCAUAAAAAAAUCUUUAACAUAUUAUUUUGUUCUGACAUUAAGGAUAUGAAAAAAUGUCAUCCAUAUUUAAAGCUGUGUUAUCAUUUGAUAAUGCUUAGAAAAUAAUCACAGAAACAAACAAAUGCCAUUUACACACAAUCAAUUUUGAUUCACAUAAAUUUAAUCUUUAAAGAGAACAUGAUUGCACAAUUUCAUCACAUUAUUUGAUAUAUAUAUAUUAAUCUGGUUAAUACUGAAGAAGUAACAACAACAUAUUUUAAAAGCAAAUUACAAACU
rnacentral:lncRNA from 1 species